GGUAGUUGUCUAGAUCUAAAGACAUCUACAAAGUUGUUUUCAUUCAAUGGUUUUCCUUACUACAGGACCAUGUCUCACAAGAUUCCAUGCAAGUGAAAAUGAAGUUCAGCUCUAUGAAGACUUCAGCGACAAUCAUGUUUUAAGAAGGUUGACUUUGAACACAGGAGCAGCAUCUGCCAUUGCUCCUUCACAAAAUUUGUGAGAAGGCAGAUGGAGUUUUGUUAUGUUUCCCAACAUUAUCUCAAACUCCUUGCCAAAGAGAUCCUCUUGCCUGAAUGUAUUGAUGGGAUGACAGGAACCUGUCACACUUCCAGACACAAUGUAAUUUGUGAGGAUGUAUGUCAUGGGUUUCUUGUGAUAAAACCACUGGACUCUUCAGGGAAGUCUUCCAGGUAUGUCGCUGAAGAUAUCCCCAGAAUAUUUUCAGUAUAUAUUCAGAAAACAUCUUCAUUAAUUUAGCAAAAGCUCACCAUUUUUCCAGGUAAGAGUGGGAAAAAAUAUGAUACAAAAACAUAAGCAUGAGAAUUGUUUGCAGGUAACAAUCACUGUCAUUUCCUUCCUAUCAUGUAGUGUUUUAAGAGGUUCAACUAGACAGUGAGACUGAAUGUGCCUGGAAGCUUGCAUCUAGAUGUGGUACAUGAACCUAUGUUCAGACUACUAUCUAAUAACUAAUAUACAGGAACUGCUUCUUUAUUUGUAUCUUCCUGUUACAGGACUGUGGACAGAGAGGAGGCACACACAGCAAUGCAGACCAAUUCUUUGUGGUACUCUUUGGCUAAUUAUCUAUAUACCAGCUUUUUAAAUUUAGGGUUUUUUUUCUAUUAAGUUUUUGGUGUUACUAAUACAUUUGAAUAUUAAUUCUUUAUUCAGUGUAGGGUUUGAAAAUAUUUUCUCCCAUUUCAGAAGAUACCUCUUAAAUCCUUUGUUUGUGCUUUCUUUGUUGUCAGCAAACUUUUUAAUAAAGUCUUACUUCCAUAUUUUUGAUUUGUUGGG
rnacentral:lncRNA from 1 species